rnacentral:lncRNA from 1 species
UAAAUCAGCACCAUGAUGAAUUGUGCCAUUGUUCUGUCUGCAACUCAUGACAGGGACAGGGAACAAACCAUCAGUAAAACCAGUGACAUAUUCACAAUGCCAUGUUACAUAUAAGGUUACACACUUACUUCGAUGUUCUUUAACCUACUUUUGCUUAUAUUUGAUAUCUUAGUAGUAAUUUGUAUCAUGAUAGUCAUUUGAACCUCUACUAAACCUAUUUGUUAUCAGCACAGGAAUCCACACACUUUGUAUUGCAAAAAUAUAACAAACAAAACCCAAGAAUGUGUACAGGUGGCUUCUAAGAUGAUGGAGCAGUUAAGUCCCUCACAAUUGAUGCAUUUAAGUCACAAUUGAGAUAUAUCCUUUUGUCCAAUUUAUAAAUUAUGUCCAAUAGGAAAUAUAUUAUGAUUGACAAGGAGAUAACUUUCACAUCUCAAAACAACAUUCUACAUACAAUGC